CCAAGGUCAACGUCGCCGGCGCCCCGCCAAACAAGAAAACAAAAACUUUCGCUGAUGUUUGGGUGCUCUGCUGACGCUACUAGCAUUACAAAACAUGCUGCGCCGGACCCCUAUGCACUGGUGAUACAACUGGUAUUUGGCCAGAAGUCGCGUUUUGCGCAUUGCGUUCAAGUCCUUGUGGAGUGUUUAGCGCAACGAGUGCUUGGAGAGGGCCUCGUUGGUUUUGGAGGAGGAGUCGCUGGGUGCUGGAACGAUACACCGAUCACGAGGUUCAAGUAGCUGCUCUGUAACUCGAAUGAAAUAUGGACAGUCUUACGUAUGCUGCUGGAAGCAUUUGCUUCAUUCUUCUUUUGGACAUGACAAAUGCUGAUGACGACGUUCUUAAAAAACUGAGAAAGAAAUAUGCUGCUCCUUUUCCCCUGCCGGCUAUCAUCAUAUUAACCUUCAUGGUGGUCAUGUUUGUGACAAGCUGCAUCAUCUUUUGGUCGAUCUGGUACCGUAGAAGACAACGUGUGCUGGGAAUGCUGCAAUCCACCCCCUGUGUGCCACCAUCGUUGAGUCCAGCUCCAGGUCCAGUGGUGUCUGGUGUACCUACCUACGUUCAGCCAGAAACACAUCCUCUCGUACCCGGUGCAUCCACAUCUCUGACUACACUCAGCACACAACAGAAGGGCUUUCGAGAAGAUAGAAGCCCUCCCUACUCCAAGGGUGGAUCCUAUUAUGACCAUAGCGGCACGUCUCUGCCUCAGCUACCCACAGCUCCAAUGCCACCGCCCCCUUAUGGCUACUGAACAAACUAGAAUCGCUUUUACAGAUGCAACAAUCGACUUGCCACUGAGGUGCAGAGGCUAUGCCUCACUAUGCUGCUAAGCUUUAAGUUGAAAGAUUUCACCCUGACGGGAGCACAAUGCAAAAGUUCUAUUGUGGUCAUAGCAGCAUGCCCCUCCCACAGCUGCCCACAGCACCAAUGCCAUGCGAAAGGAAGUGCUCAGAUCCAAAGCAUACUAUAUUGAAACCUAUGCGAAGCAUUUUUUGAAAUGCUUAUAUACAACUGAAUGCGACAUGUACAAUUGCAUUUAUUUUCAUUCUCUGCAACGUGUAGUCAUCUUAGACAAUGUUAAUAGACAACACAGGUCACAAGCUACGCUGAAAUGCAAACACCAGAUAAUGUGGAUCCACAGCCUGAGACAUUGAUGUUACAAUGUCACAAAAGCAGAGGCUAUAGUAUAUGUUGCCUGUGGAGGACCUACGGCUAAAUACAUUUGAGGGUUCCUUGCUACUUGCGCCAAGAUGGCACAAGCAAACACACGAGGAUUGGCCAAAAAGUUCAGUUAAAUAUCGCAUUGAACCACACACUGAGCAGAAGUGAGAGUUUCCAAGUAUAGCUGUUAUCUAUCCAUGGACAGAGAGAAUGUUCUUCAUUGAAAAGUUGAGAGAUGUGCCAGCAUCCGUGGAACAAGUUAGGUGCCUCUCAGUGUGGAAAAUGGAUUGGUGUUGUAUUGGCACCAAGAGAAUAAGCACUGUAAUGAAAAAGAAUUGGGGAUAAAAAAAAAUCAAGGAUGAUUGUCAAAGUAAGUGAAAGUUUUACUGCUUUGUACCAUGUUGUGCUUGUGUUCUUUUCAUGUCGAGUUGAAGCAUUGUCAUUUUGUGUAGCUGUUGCGCGAUUGCAGUCAGAUGUUUGACGACUCAGUCUGUGCCUCACUACAAAUUCGUCCUAUUCUUAUUCCGUUCGGAAGUGUUACAAAACGUGCAUUGUGUCACCAAUUGGUGUUCACCAAUACACAUUAUUAAUGGGAACUAACAGGCAAUAAUGCCAUGCAAAGUAUAGGGGGUGUUAUUUCUAGUAAUUAGGAUAUACAUGUGAAGAAAGUAAAGUGGAUGAAAAGAUUACUUGCCGCCGGCAGGGACCGAACCUGCGGCCUUCGAAUAAUGCGUCCGAUGCUCUACCACUGAGCUACGGUGGCGGUCAUCCUCUCGUUUACUUUAUGGGCUAUAUAUGUAAAUUUAAACCUAGAAGUGUUAGUCAGCGCCGAUCGCAGCCAUGGCGGCGAGUGUGAAACACUUUUUCUGCCUCUUGGAGUCACGUAGCACGGUCCCUGCCGGCGGCAAGUUAUCUUUUCGUCCACUUUACUUUGUUCACAUUUAUAUCCUAAUUACUCAAAAUAACCCCCUAUACUUUCCAUGGCAUUAUUGUCUGUUAGUUCCCAUUAAUAUUGUGUCUAACAAAGAAAAACGAGCCCUUAAAAGUCGCCUUCUUUCCUUCAUCAAUACACAUUGUUAGAUAAGAAUAUCUAACCAAUUUUAUUGCGAAUAAUUGUGUUUAGCUGGAUAAGUGUUUCUGUCCACUGUUGCCGUAUUUACUCGAUUCUACCGCGCCCUCGAUUGUAACGCGCACCCAUUUUUCGUGAGAGAAGUGAAAAGAAGUCCGUAGGAGUCCACCUUCACACAUUCAGAAAAACAAGUAUUUGGUUUUUUAAUGAACUAAAGUUUCAAGAAAAGAAAACACAAAGUCAAACGGCGGGCUUUGCCGCUGAAACUGUCACCACUACGGCGGCGAUAUGAGUCGCGUAAUGAAUCAGUCUUCGUCGCUGUCGGACAACUCCUUGUCGCUGUCAGCGCUCUUCGAUUUCAGCAAACCGGCCCUGCUUUUGUCCGCUGAAACUUUUUCGUGAAGCUUUGCUGUAAAACAAUCUUCUGCUUCUGUUUGCGCCAGUCUCGCACGCACGUUUCGGCAUCUCCGAACGACCGCGAUGCGGCCCGAUUUCCGUCCGUCUCUGCACAUGUAAUAACUUUUCUUUUAAAUGCGACAUCGUGGUGCACUCGUCGAGUAUUUGGAGUGGGCACUUCUAUGCCGGCGAUGCUAAUGCAGAACGGGAUGACAAACUCCUCAGCACACGUACGAACUGAAACAAUGACAGAAAUGGCCGAGGCGCGUAGGAGGCGGCCAUUUUGAAAUGCCGAUGGCAAUACGAUACCGAGUUUCUUUUUUUUUUUCGGUACUCGAUUCUAACACGCAUGCGAUUUUUCGACUCGUUUUGCCAAAAAAAAGGUGCGCGUUAGAUUCGAGUAAGUACAGUAUGUUUGCUGUGAGUGGGGUGAAACUUAACACAAAAAACUGCUCCAUGCUCUCUCCCAUUGCCUUCACACUUAAGAAAUCUUCUGAGGGGUUUCGAUAUUGAAAGAAAUGAAGCUCUGCUGUGACGUAAUGAAAUUUAUGGGAAUCUGCAAACGUAAUUAGCUUGUGGAUACACGCACAGAAACAUGUAUGCAAAGGGGAAGUUGGACCGUGUUGCAAUUGCUACCAGAUUCAUAGGUCGUCACUGUUGUAGAAGUGCUGUAGGACACCUGUAUAUAUUGCGCCUAGCUGAGAUCAGUGACCUUCUGCUUUUGUUUCGUGCUCCAGCUCUAUUCACAGCUUGCGACACGUUCUCUCUACAAAGUUGGACGAAAGCACGAAAGUUGUGCUGCCGUACAACUUGACCAGUAAGAGCCUUGCUGGUACAUUUUUAUGAUUAUCAAAGUUGCUCAACCUGAGUUACUGUAUGCUUGUACUAUUAAGCUUAAUAGUAUGCUUGUACUAUUAAGCUCUGCUGUUUCCUCUGGUCAGAUGGAAAGUAUAUCAUACUGGCUCUUGUGCAUAUUUCUGUGAGAAAGUAAGUCCAUUUGGAAAUGUCUUUUUACAUUUGCUUUUCCAAAGUCAUGUUCACAUAGUACUAAACCACUCUUCAGUUAUGUACAUUGUCGUGCUUGAGCCAAAGUCAAGAUUCAGCCAUAUUAUCACUGACUCUUCGUUUUAAGCAUUUUUCGUUCAGUUAAGCUCUGCUGCUGCAUUAAAGUAGUUAAAUUUUGCCAUUUUACAUGCAUUUGAAUACAAAAAUUCAAUUUGAGAACUGGAUGCUGUGCAUCUAGUAGGUGUUGGGCUGUGACAUAGCUUUUCUACAAAGUAUAUCUCGUAUUUAGUGUUUUAAGAAGGCAUAAACACAACCAGUAAGUUCACUCUCACAUUUCUCACAAGUCCUGUUUCAUGUAAUCAGAUGUCUAAUUGUAUAUGCAUAUAGUAUACAGCUGCACAUGAUGAAAGAUUAAUUUUACAGACCAGGGUGUUUUUUUAAAUAGAAUUUUAAUUUAGAACUGCUAUAGGUGCACACAAUCUAGUCAUUUUUAAGCAAUAGUACCAGAACAAUGCUCGUGGUUGUGCUUCUUGUGAAAAAAAAAUUUUGCAUACAUUGAGCUGCCUUCAUAAGUUGCCUUAUGCGGUUGCUAUGUAAUGUUCUAAAAUAAGCCAUUUCCUUUUCACCGCAGGCUGCUGUGGCCCAUGAGUCUGUGUCUCCACUUGUUACAAUAGCAACAAAUUUACUGGAGUUGCACUGACCCAUACGUAGCUGCGUCACAGAAUUUUGUUUCCAGCUGACCCGCCACGGUGAUCUAGUGGUUAUAGUGCUCGACUGCUAACCCGCAGGUCGCGGGAUCGAAUCCUGGCCGCGGCACCUGCAUUUUCUAUGGAGGCGGAAAUGCUUGAGGCCCGUAAAGAACCCCUGGUGGUCAAAACUUCCGGAGACCUCCACUACGGCGUCUCUCAUAAUCAUGUCAUGGUUCUGGGACGUUAAACCCCAACGAUUAUUAUUAUUAGUAUUAUUGUUUGCAGCUGUGUAUAUCUCCUCUUACAGCAUGUAAGCUCCUUGGUGUUACUGUACUUUGAUAUUUUAAUCGCAAUCAGGUACCUGAAACUUACAUGCCAAGCAUGUAGCUUUGUUGCAGCAACUGUUAUGCAACUGUCAGUGAAAGCCAUUGCUAAAAACAACAGAGAAUGAACAACUUGUGUAGCUUGCACGAAAAGCUUGUAUCUCUUGUAUUUGAGGAGGGAGAGAGGGUGUACUGCUUUGUUCAUCCAAGCAGCUUUCCUGUCAUCUGUUCACAGUCCAGUAGCUGUUUGCAUCAAAUGGGAUGGUGUCCCACAAAGUAACUUUUUCAAUGGAGUGGUCUUGCACUGAAUUUAUGCUUAUGCUACUGCCAUGCUUCCUUUCUUCACUGCCAACUCGUGCACCAAGCACCAUUCCUCGUAUCUACCUACAAAUUAGUAAUGCUGGUGUUUGUAGUCUAUUUCUUUUGCAGACAUGAAGCAUUCACCGUGACAUGGUAAUGAUGAGCUCACUUUUAAGCAGAACUUGAAACUGCUGCUAUUGCUUGUGCCUUAUGUGAUGCGUGGUCGCUACUAUGAAAAACCUAUUUGCUCUGGACUGUCUUAAAUUUUUGGCAAGAUCACUUCUCUUUAGGUUAAGAAUGCAUUGCAUGCACUACGUCUCACACAAUUGCUCUUGCUGAGAGAUGCACAAAUGAAGAUGACUUUACAAUGAUUUUAAAUAAGUUAACAAAGGUUUAUCGUUACAACAGUGCAAUUAUUUUGGAAAUGUGCAGGUUUUUUACGUAAGGAAAUAUUUUUGCUCUGUCUUGUCUGCUCUUUUUCUUAACAUGCUGUUGGUGUAUUUUCAUACUGUCGUGUGGAUCUAGCCUGUGAUAUACAAUGUAGUAAUGGUGCUUUCAGUUUUAACGAGAUAGCGUUAAAGAGCUUGUAUCGUAGAAAUUCAGCAUUGGCUCAGCAGGAAAAUCAGCAUUGGCCGUGAGCGAAAAUUCGAGAUAGAUGCAAGUAAAGAAAUAAUUUUAAAAAUCUUCGUUUCGAGUGGGACCGGGGAUUCGAACCUGCGACCCCUUGUUCAGUGGCGUGAUGAAUUUAGCCGCUCAGCCACCAUGCAUACAUCCUCUAGCAUACUAACAGCGAGCUAUUUAUAUAAACCAUUUAGCGUGGUACGCACAUCUUGGAGGUUCUUCAGUGGCUUGACUACCACCUGCGAGAUGGUGCAAAGGGCCCAAGGGCACGCUUUUAAACGGCAUCGCCCCACUGUGUGGCCGUGUCUCAUCGCGCCGCAUGCAUGGAUAUUGGAGCCGAAGGGCGUCCGCACUGUGGCUUUCCUUGCGGCACGGUUUAGGUCUCCACCCAGAAGUGAAGCCAGGCUAGCGAUUGGGAAGGCGAUAUGAACACAGUCUGAUUACGCUAUUGCGUUCUACUCUUGAAACCAAAGCUCAAGUGUCCUCCAAGUUUUCAGUUUGGGCAUCAAGCUCUGCUGCAUACAGUCCGUGACUGCUCUUGUCCGCAUGCAGUUUGUCUAUUUUGCUACCAUGUUAAAAUAUAUCUGCAGAUGUGUUCAAGUAUUCAUGUAAACCUGUAAAGAAUAUUGCUGUUAUUGUGAUUGAGAGACUCAGUCUGAUGGUGUUACAUUUAUAGAAGGGCUUAAAGGGACCGACAACUGGUCACAAUGUGUAAUUAGACCCUGGUAAAAAUGAAAAGACAGUGAAAUAUAGCGAAAGAUUUCAGCAUCCUUCUUGCGUUGUGAGCAGGAUUUAUAUUUUUAAAUCGUGGUUAAAAGUAACGAAAACUGGUAUGUCGCGCAGCCUAGCGGAAGCCUUGAAGCUGGAUUUUGGAGUCGAUCACUUUUUGCUAUAGAUAGUCACGUAGUCUGAUGCUGUCAUGCGUGCCAUAAUUAGUCCUGAAAAUUAGACUAUGUAAUUAUCUAUCCCCGCUCUAUUUUGUGCUGCUUACGAGGUAAAAGGAGUUGCAAGGUGAGAAGCGGCGCUGCCUUCGCGGUGGAACAUGUAGAGCCGCUGCACAUGCGCAGCUAACCGCCGCACUCGAGCACAAACUGCUCUCGCGCUCACUUGUGCUUACGACUUCAUAUUCGCCGCAGAUAGAAAAAUUCUGAUUACAAAUCUUUCACAGCGUUUUCUACGUUGCAGUCCCAUGAUUAGACAUUUUCACUUGUAAGCUUUCCGUUGCAUUAAAGAAAAUGGGCACCUUAAAAAUUGGUUGUCGGUCCCUUUAACUCUGGGCGACUACUCCUCGAGUUUGCUUUUACUUCUUUUGGUAAUUUGUGGCAUCAGGCUCAAGAUGCCUAGAAAGGCCAGAUUGUAGCCUCAUGUAAGAAACAUUGUUCUGUUUGGCAAAUAAAUGCUUCUCAUUGAAAAUAAGUUGGUGUCUAUUUAGUGGUAGUUGCGCUAGUUUGCAACUUUCUUCGCUUUAUAUAAUUUUGCGGGGUUUUUUUUUGCUGCUUCAUUCGUGACGGACUGCUGCGGUAUUGCGAUGAGUGCAAGAGAUUGGAAAUCUUUUGAUAGCGUUGUGUUGCGUGCGUCCUGAGCACAGAGUACACAUGGUGACUGCAUUGCUCUGGCAUGUACAGUGCUAUGUUGAGCUCGCCCAUUGGGCGUUUUGGCCUAGUUCUCUCAUGCCUCUGCUGCUGUGUGAUGCUUCUCUACCAGGGUUUGCAUUUUGCAUUCCAUGUGUGAAUAGGUACGAUUCCUUUUCAAGUCAUUUUUUCGCUUCUCGACAUCUGCAGGGUCUUUUGACUCACAUUGUCGCCGUCUUCGCAGACGUAGUUCAGGGCUUAGUGUUACUUCAAAUCAAUGACUCCUGACCGCAACUUCCAUCCACUUACGGUCUCCCUGGUGCUCGCACCUAUAUAGCACUUGGCGAGAUAGUAAUUUGUGUUAAUAACCGUGGUAACGAUUAUUUUUGUAACAUAGAGCUUCAGUAAAGCUAAACCGAAUGUCUGAACAGACUUGCACGGUGUCAGAGUGCACCUCACAGGCAAAGCACAGCCCAUUAAAAGCUAUCUCACGCCGAUUGCAAAUUCAGUUGAUUAAUGGAAAUUGUAAGGAGCCGUCUGCGGAGUGUUUUAACGAGAAAGUUUUUCUGUUUUAAAGGGGUGAUGAGCCACUUUUCCAAGUAAUGAUCUAAUGACCUCAGUAUCGGAGUUUACUGCCUCCCGAAUCGAUUGCC